rnacentral:rRNA from 1 species
GAUGAACGCUGGCGGCGUGCCUAAUACAUGCAAGUCGAGCGAACAGACGAGGAGCUUGCUCCUCUGACGUUAGCGGCGGACGGGUGAGUAACACGUGGAUAACCUACCUAUAAGACUGGGAUAACUUCGGGAAACCGGAGCUAAUACCGGAUAAUGUAUUGAACCGCAUGGUUCAAUAGUGAAAGACGGUUUUGCUGUCACUUAUAGAUGGAUCCGCGCCGCAUUAGCUAGUUGGUAAGGUAACGGCUUACCAAGGCGACGAUGCGUAGCCGACCUGAGAGGGUGAUCGGCCACACUGGAACUGAGACACGGUCCAGACUCCUACGGGAGGCAGCAGUAGGGAAUCUUCCGCAAUGGGCGAAAGCCUGACGGAGCAACGCCGCGUGAGUGAUGAAGGUCUUCGGAUCGUAAAACUCUGUUAUUAGGGAAGAACAAAUGUGUAAGUAACUAUGCACGUCUUGACGGUACCUAAUCAGAAAGCCACGGCUAACUACGUG